GCCCCCCUGGCAUCCCGGCCGCUGGGCGCGGCGGCGCGCAUGCGCAGCUCCUCGGGCCGGCUCCGGCGCACCUUUUCUCCCCGCUGCCACAAUGUGAGCGCCCCGCCGCCCAGAUAACCGCCGACUCCCGCUCCACCCCCGCCCUCCCCCACUCCGCCCACUGCCGAGCGCCCAGGACAUUUAAUCCGUUCCCUACUCUGCCCUGA
rnacentral:lncRNA from 1 species